GAUGAAGAACGUAGCGAAAUGCGAUAAGUAAUGUGAAUUGCAGAAUUCAGUGAAUCAUCGAAUCUUUGAACGCACAUUGCGCCCGCCAGUAUUCUGGCGGGCAUGCCUGAUCGAGCGUCAUUUCAACCAUCAAGCCCCAGGCUUGUGUUGGGGACCUGCGGCUGCCGCAGGCCCUGAAAACCAGUGGCGGGCUCGCUGUCACACCGGGCGUAGUAGAUUUUAUCUCGCUCAGGGCGUGCUGCGGGUUCCGGCCGUUAAAAAGCCUUUUUUACCCAAGGUUGACCUCGGAUCAGGUAGGAAGACCCGCUGAACUUAAGCAUAUCAAUAAGCGGAGGA
rnacentral:misc_RNA from 1 species